GUGUAAGGAAAAAUAAUGAAAUAAUCUUAAAUCAAUCUUGAAUUCUAAUUGAUUUGAACCAAUCUUGUCCCAAAUCUUCGACCAAUUUCAUCCAAAAGCCAAAUUAGGAAACUAGGUGGCCACUCAUGCAAUUUAGUCUAAACCACGGGAUCGAAAUUGCAAUAAUUUUGUGAUUCUACGCUAAAGUUUGAAAAAUUAUUUUUUACGCCUUUUCAUUCUGUCUCCGAAUCAAUUUCUUCUUCUUGGGUCGCGCUCUUCAAUUCUCUCUCAAUCUGAGCGCUCGCGAGGGAGAGCAGCCUGACGACGAGUUUGUCCGGCGUCUUGCCGGAACACUACCGUCGCACGUCAAGGUGGCAAUUGGCGAGUUGGUUCAGCUCUUGAGACUCCGAUUCUCGCAAGCAGGCGUCUCGCCAGAGUGGCCAUUGACGAGAGCUCCACACCGUUUGCUCCUUCUUCCCCAUCACGGGGAACGUCAGAAGCAGCCAAUGGAAGGCAGCAUCUUUUCCGAUGCAGAUCUUCGAUUUAGAUCUGGCUUCAAAAGACCGGUCCUCAUGUGCGGGGUUUAGCACUCCUGGAGCCUCCGGAGGUCAAGCAACGGCAGAGUUCCACAGAGAUUCACUCGAUGGAAAAUCAGUUGACCGAGUAGCCGGGUAUCCCUCGGUGUCCGGAUCUCUCGGUAUUGUUUCUAAAAUCAAGUGGAUUGGUUUGUCUAGCCCAUUCUUUUUAUUUCUUUUUGGACCCAAUCCUUUUCUUUUCCCUCAAACCCACCCCAUUCCCUUCAUUUGAAUUUUUUCAUUAUUGACCCACCCGAAGCAGCAGGGGCGUGGCCACUUUGCGGUUUCUUCUCUGCCUUUCGCACGCUCUCGCUGUGAGCGUAAGGAAGCGACCGGGACGCAAUGAGAUAGAAAAAAGAGAGAGAUCGAGGGUGAAUUUCUUUCCAUUCGCCGGUGGUUCGGCUGAAUCACCCUCGACCAUCUGAGGAAGCCAACUCGCCUGUCGUCGUUGGUCACGGCAAGCUCUUGAACCAGGUAGGCCUCAAGAAUGCCCUGCUUCUUUCUAGCAUAUAAUUCAUGUUUUGGGCGAAUCGUGUGAUGCUGGAGCCGAUUUGUGGCGUAUGAUGAUGAUUUGGAGUGUGAUAUAUCAUUGCCAAGUUGAGAAUUGCUCUGGAACCUAGCGUAGAAUUCAUGUUUUAAGUCGCACGUCACAUGUCCGAUAAGAUGCCUAGGUGAGAUUCCGAAGUGGAUUUUCUGUGAUUCGCUCCGAUUUUGGUUUAUGCUCACUUCAUUGAUCAACCGAAUAGAAGGUAAUGCUGCGUUUUCCUUUGUUUUUAUGGCAUAUUCACGUUACUGAGUGGGCCAUGGACGAACGCCUCCUCGCCAGAAAAUCUAUUCCACGCCGGUGAAGCCGGCGGUUAGUGGCCGCCAUUGUCAGUCAAUCCUUCUUGGUUUAAUAUGCAUUUGAGUGAUCUCUAUGCUAGUUUUAUUAGAUUUUUGUGAUACAUAUCUUUAUAGUGUGAAAAUCCCAUUGCCGGAGCUAGUUAGUAAUCACCGGCCAAUUAGUGUUCGAAGCCGGUCGGUGUGGAUGGGGAUUUUGAAGGUGCAGAAAAAGAAUAAUAAUAAAAAAAAAUGCAAGAAAUUUUUUAAAAAUAAAAAUAAAAGAUAAACAAUAAAAAUUCAGUUAUAAUAUAAAAGGGGUCAAACCAGGCCAAUGGGUCGGAUCUAGUUGGCCAGGUUGGAGAUCGCGGGCUAGUGAUUGGGCCAAGUAUAAUAAAAAAGAGAUAAAUCGGAGGCCGCAGGCUUAGAGGCGAAUGGGCCCAUUUGAUAUGUUUGGGCUGGUCAUUAGGGCCAGCCUGAAUUCAAACUCUACCUGGACCAUUAGGGUAUGGGUCGGACACUUAUCCGAACCGGGUUCUCGACCCAGCCCAUAGUCCUUUUUCUCAGAUUAAAGAAUAUUUUAAAAAAUAAUAGAAAAUCAAAAAA